CAGAAAGACGAACAGCAAGAACAAAAAAGAGACGAGGCUCUCUUUAGACGUUACGUUGAGUCUGACAUCAUGGGAGCUCCGCGAGCUUAAAAGAGACGGUAAAAACACAACGGGAGAAUCACAGAAAGGCUCUCAGUGUGGAAUGAUAACGACUAACUAACGGCGUCUCCUGUCAGCUCCUCUUCCCGCCGCUCAAGGCAGCAGCAGUCACGUGACAGCAGCGAGGGCUCACAGACCGAGAACGCGCUUCAUUCGCCAUACUGUGUUUUGUGCCAUAACGCAUUUUUAUCGCAACAUUUUACUCCCUCUCGGAGAAUAAUGACCGGCAAGACUCAGACCAGCAAUGUCACUAACAAGAACGACCCGCGCUCCCUCAACUCUCGGGUCUUUAUCGGCAACCUCAACACCGCCAUCGUGAAGAAGAGCGACAUCGAGGUCAUCUUCGCCAAGUACGGCAAGAUCGUGGGCUGUUCGGUGCACAAGGGUUACGCUUUCGUCCAGUACAUUAGCGAAAGGAACGCACGGGCCGCCGUAGCUGGAGAAAACGCCAGGAUAAUCGCAGGACAGCCGCUGG
rnacentral:lncRNA from 1 species